rnacentral:lncRNA from 1 species
CAACUGACAAGAGAGUGUGUGAACCAGAGAGAAAAAAUGGUUUGAGCACAGAGCAGCGUGUACUUUGUAGUUCUGAAUUUCAAAUUCAAAAUUGAAAUGAUUUAGAUUGUUACUCCAAUCAACAAUUCACGUCUACGUAGGAAAAACGAAAUGUGGAUAAUGGAUAUUGCAAUCGAUUUUGAAAACUUGUAUUAUUCUUCUGUUAUGAAGCCCUGUCCUACUAUCUCAAUUGCUCAAAGGGUUGACCUUCCAGUUUUGCUUGAACUUUGUAGCCUCUUAUUCCAUAUGGCAGAGUGCUGGUUUUUUGUAUAAAACCAUGAAGCAAAUUGAAGAUUGGAAAUUUACAAUGAUUCGAACUACCUGCUGGGAAUGCCAGUCAACAAAAGAAACAGAAAACAAUUUCACUAAUCAAAUUCCUAUUUAAAUAAUACAUAUUCCAACAUAUUUAUUUGUUUGGAGACAGCAGUUGAGUGAUAUAAUUUCUUCACAAGGAAUAUACUGCCCGCUCACACAUCUAUAAGCUGAUUCCAUGGUAUGCCCACAACUAUUUGCAGGGGUGAGACACAAUUAAACUCUCAUUUGUCAUCAACAAGUAGUAAGUGUUGACUGUUGAAUGUUCAAUCCAUUUCCCUGAAUCGAUAGUAAAGUAUGUUGGUUAUUUUUCUUCUUGACCCUUUUGCUUCGUUAGUGAAGAGACAAAUACUGUUGGAAAUAAUUUCAUUAUCUGCUCAGUUUUUCUGGCCAGUUCAUGUUUUCGACAACUUUCUUGUUUAAAAGCCCUCCAUUUCGACGACGAAAUGAUAGAAGAUAGGCCUAGUUGAUGUUGAUUGCGAUUUCUUCAUCCUCCUCCGAUCGAAAUCUCUUUAAGCACUCACCGUUACGUGGACCAUCCGUAUUUUUAAUGUAAAAUCUAUUCGAUUCAACCAUUUUCUCGAAUUUGUUUUACUGUGAAAGUUUAUUUUAGUUUUUUGUGAAGUUUUUUAAGUCAGUUGCAUGCUUAAAGCAAAAUAUGACAGGUGCGUGGGUUUCAA